AGAGUUUGAUCAUGGCUCAGAACGAACGCUGGCGGCAGGCUUAACACAUGCAAGUCGAACGCAUCCUUCGGGGUGAGUGGCAGACGGGUGAGUAACGCGUGGGAACGUGCCCUUCAGUUCGGAAUAACCCAGGGAAACUUGGGCUAAUACCGGAUACGUGCGAGAGCAGAAAGAUUUAUCGCUGAAGGAUCGGCCCGCGUCUGAUUAGCUAGUUGGUAGGGUAAUGGCCUACCAAGGCGACGAUCAGUAGCUGGUCUGAGAGGAUGAUCAGCCACAUUGGGACUGAGACACGGCCCAAACUCCUACGGGAGGCAGCAGUGGGGAAUAUUGGACAAUGGGCGCAAGCCUGAUCCAGCCAUGCCGCGUGAGUGAUGAAGGCCUUAGGGUUGUAAAGCUCUUUCGUCCGGGACGAUAAUGACGGUACCGGAAGAAGAAGCCCCGGCUAACUUCGUGCCAGCAGCCGCGGUAAUACGAAGGGGGCUAGCGUUGUUCGGAAUCACUGGGCGUAAAGGGCGCGUAGGCGGCUUGAUAAGUCGGGGGUGAAAGCCUGUGGCUCAACCACAGAAUUGCCCUCGAUACUGUCUGGCUUGAGACCGGAAGAGGUAAGUGGAACUGCGAGUGUAGAGGUGAAAUUCGUAGAUAUUCGCAAGAACACCAGUGGCGAAGGCGGCUUACUGGUCCGGUUCUGACGCUGAGGCGCGAAAGCGUGGGGAGCAAACAGGAUUAGAUACCCUAGUAGUCC
rnacentral:rRNA from 1 species